rnacentral:rRNA from 1 species
CCUACGGGAGGCAGCAGUAGGGAAUUUUCGGCAAUGGGGGGAACCCUGACCGAGCAACGCCGCGUGAACGAAGAAGUAUUUCGGUAUGUAAAGCUCUAUCAGCAGGGAAGAAGCAAGACGGUACCUGACUAAGAAGCCCCGGCUAACUACGUGCCAGCAGCCGCGGUAAUACGUAGGGGGCAAGCGUUAUCCGGAUUUACUGGGUGUAAAGGGAGCGUAGACGGUAUGGCAAGUCUGAAGUGAAAGCCCAGGGCUUAACCCUGGGACUGCUUUGGAAACUGUUAGACUAGAGUGCUGGAGAGGUAAGUGGAAUUCCUAGUGGAGCGGUGAAAUGCGUAGAUAUUAGGAGGAACACCAGUGGCGAAGGCGGCUUACUGGACAGUAACUGACGUUGAGGCUCGAAAGCGUGGGGAGCAAACAGGAUUAGAUACCCUUGUAGUC